rnacentral:rRNA from 1 species
GGGCCAGUAGGUUGGUCGUGCCACCGGUACGUACUGGUCUCACUGAUUCCUCCUUCCUGAAGAACCGUAAUGCCAUUAAUUUGGUGUUGCGGGGAAACAGGAUUGUUACUUUGAAAAAAUUAGAGUGUUUAAAGCAAGCUAACGCUUGAAUACAUUAGCAUGGAAUAAUGAAAUAGGACGAUCGAUCCUAUUUUGUUGGUUUCUAGGAUUGACGUA